UACGAAGGGUGCAAACGUUGCUCGGAAUCAUUGGGCGUAAAGCGCACGUAGGCGGUUUAUCAAGUCGGAUGUGAAAUCCUUAGGCUCAACCAAAGAAGUGCAUUCGAAACUGAUAGACUUGAGUAUGGAAGAGGGUCGUGGAAUUCCCGGUGUAGAGGUGAAAUUCGUAGAGAUCGGGAGGAACAUCUGUGGCGAAGGCGACGACCUGGGCCAAUACUGACGCUGAGGUGCGAAAGCGUGGGGAGCAAACAGG
rnacentral:rRNA from 1 species